UACGUAGGGGGCAAGCGUUGUCCGGAUUUAUUGGGCGUAAAGAGCGUGUAGGCGGCUAGGUAGGUCCGUUGUGAAAACUCGAGGCUCAACCUCGAGCUGUCGAUGGAAACCAUCUGGCUAGAGUCCGGAAGAGGAGAGUGGAAUUCCUGGUGUAGCGGUGAAAUGCGUAGAGAUCAGGAAGAACACCGGUGGCGAAGGCGGUUCUCUGGGCCUUACCUGACGCUGAGGAGCGAAAGCGUGGGGAGCGAACAGG
rnacentral:rRNA from 1 species